rnacentral:rRNA from 1 species
GAGUUUGAUCAUGGCUCAGGAUGAACGCUAGCGGCAGGCUUAACACAUGCAAGUCGAGGGGUAGAGUAGCAAUACUUGAGACCGGCGCACGGGUGCGUAACGCGUAUGCAACCUACCUUUUACAGAGGGAUAGCCCAGAGAAAUUUGGAUUAAUACCUCAUAGUAUAUGUCUUUCGCAUGUUAGACAUAUUAAAGUUCCAACGGUAAAAGAUGGGCAUGCGUCCUAUUAGCUAGAUGGUAAGGUAACGGCUUACCAUGGCAACGAUAGGUAGGGGUCCUGAGAGGGAGAUCCCCCACACUGGUACUGAGACACGGACCAGACUCCUACGGGAGGCAGCAGUGAGGAAUAUUGGACAAUGGGCGCAAGCCUGAUCCAGCCAUGCCGCGUGCAGGAAGACGGUCCUAUGGAUUGUAAACUGCUUUUGUACGGGAAGAAACACUCCCUCGUGAGGGAGCUUGACGGUACCGUAAGAAUAAGGAUCGGCUAACUCCGUG